rnacentral:rRNA from 1 species
UCUACCCUCCCCUGGACUAAGCAUAUCAAUAAGCGGAGGAAAAGAAACCAACAGGGAUUGCCCUAGUAACGGCGAGUGAAGCGGCAACAGCUCAAAUUUGAAAUCUGGCUCUUUUAGGGUCCGAGUUGUAAUUUGCAGAGGGCGCUUUGGCGUUGGCAGCGGUCCAAGUUCCUUGGAACAGGACGUCACAGAGGGUGAGAAUCCCGUACGUGGUCGCUAACCUUCGCCGUGUAAAGCCCCUUCGACGAGUCGAGUUGUUUGGGAAUGCAGCUCUAAAUGGGAGGUAAAUUUCUUCUAAAGCUAAAUACUGGCCAGAGACCGAUAGCGCACAAGUAGAGUGAUCGAAAGAUGAAAAGCACUUUGGAAAGAGAGUCAAAUAGCACGUGAAAUUGUUGAAAGGGAAGCGCUUGCAGCCAGACUUGCCUGUAGUUGCUCACCCGGACUUUUGUCCGGUGCAUUCUUCUAUAGGCAGGCCAGCAUCAGUUUGGGCGGUUGGAUAAAGGUCUCUGUCAUGUACCUCCUUUCGGGGAGGCCUUAUAGGGGAGACGACAUGCAACCAGCCUGGACUGAGGUCCGCGCAUUUAUGCUAGGAUGCUGGCGUAAUGGCUGUAAGCGGCCCGUCUUGAAACACGGACCAAGGAGUCUAACAUCUAUGCGAGUGUUUGGGUGUCAAGCCCGAACGCGUAAUGAAAGUGAACGGAGGUGGGAACCCUUACGGGUGCACCAUCGACCGAUCCUGAUGUCUUCGGAUGGAUUUGAGUAAGAGCAUGGCUGUUGGGACCCGAAAGAUGGUGAACUAUGCUUGAAUAGGGUGAAGCCAGAGGAAACUCUGGUGGAGGCUCGCAGCGGUUCUGACGUGCAAAUCGAUCGUCAAAUUUGGGCAUAGGGGCGAAAGACUAAUCGAACUAUCUAGUAGCUGGUUCCUGCCGAAGUGGGCCGGAAGGAGAUAA